AUUGAACGCUGGCGGCAGGCCUAACACAUGCAAGUCGAACGAGUGGCGGACGGGUGAGUAAUGUAUGGGAAACUGCCUGAUGGAGGGGGAUAACUACUGGAAACGGUAGCUAAUACCGCAUACCAUCGGAUGUGCCCAGAUGGGAUUAGCUAGUAGGUGGGGUAAAGGCUCACCUAGGCGACGAUCCCUAGCUGGUCUGAGAGGAUGACCAGCCACACUGGAACUGAGACACGGUCCCGACUCCUACGGGAGGAAGCAGUGGUGAAUAUUGCACGAUGGGCGCAAGCCUGAUGCAGCCAGGCCGCGUGUAUGAAGAAGGCCGUCGGGUUGUAAAGUACUUUCAGCGGGGAGGCGUUACCCGCAGAAGAAGCACCGGCUAACUCCGUGCCAGCAGCCGCGGUAAUAC
rnacentral:rRNA from 1 species